rnacentral:rRNA from 1 species
AGAGUUUGAUCCUGGCUCAGGAUGAACGCUGGCGGCGUGCCUAACACAUGCAAGUCGAGCGAAGCACUUUACUUUGAGAUCUUCGGAAGGAAAAGUUUUGUGACUGAGCGGCGGACGGGUGAGUAACGCGUGGGUAACCUGCCUCACACAGGGGGAUAACAGUUAGAAAUGACUGCUAAUACCGCAUAAGGCCACAGGACCGCAUGGUGCGGGGGUAAAAACUCCGGUGGUGUGAGAUGGGCCCGCGUCUGAUUAGUUAGUUGGCGGGGUAACGGCCCACCAAGGCGACGAUCAGUAGCCGGCCUGAGAGGGUGACCGGCCACAUUGGGACUGAGACACGGCCCAAACUCCUACGGGAGGCAGCAGUGGGGAAUAUUGCACAAUGGGGGAAACCCUGAUGCAGCGACGCCGCGUGAGCGAAGAAGUAUUUCGGUAUGUAAAGCUCUAUCAGCAGGGAAGAAGAUGACGGUACCUGAGUAAGAAGCACCGG